AUACUACUCCCUCCGUGCGAAAAUACUUGUCCUAGAAAUGGAUAAAAUGAACGUAUCUAUAACUAAGAUAAGUCUAGAUACAACCAUUUCGAGGACAAGUAUUUUCGGACGGAGGGAGUACUAA
rfam:Triticum aestivum genome assembly, contig: Triticum_aestivum_CS42_TGACv1_scaffold_158539_2DL